AUCUUUCUCAGAUUCUCUCUGGAUCCUUUAUAUGCUCAAUGUGAAGGAAGUAUUUAAUAUGAUCUAAAUGUUUGCAAGUUUUUGCCAGUUGAUUCACAACCCGCUUUAGAAUCAGAUAUUUAUCAGCUUGAGGGAAAAUUACAUAAAACUUUCAACUUACAGAAAAUAAGGAACAUAUAUGUAUAGUUUUACAGAAAUGAAAACAAAAUUAAAACAUAAUUUUAGGCGAAAUAGUUAUGAGUCAAUUUCUAAAGGUUUUAAUUUAGCAGACUUAAUAAACACUAUUACCACUUUUCCAAGCACUCUCCAGACUUAAUCAUUUAAUCCUCGUAAUGAACAACUUUAUGACGCAAGCACUGCUAUUGUCAUCCCCAUUUUCAGAUGAUGCCCAGAGAGGCUCAGCAAAUUGUUCAAGGUCACACAGCUGCUAAGUGGCAGGGCCAGGAUUUAAGCCUAUGCAAUCUGGUUCCAGUAUGAUUGAUCUUAGCCACUAUGCUAUCUUUCCUCUCAAGGUUACCGGAAUCCCUAAGGAAUUCUAAAAGGAGAAAGUAAACAUUUUCUCAAUCUGGAUUCCAGAGUCUGUACUUCGAAGCACUCUGCAGCUACAACUCUCAAAUUCUUUGUUUCCCUGUGGUUCUGUCCUCCAUCACCUGGAAAAUCAGAUCAUGUCAAUUUCCUACUUAAAACCUUUAGUAUUUUUUUAAUGACUCACCAAGACCACGUCUUAGUGAUGUAUGAAAAGCCUUUCACAUUCUCGUUUCUUUUAAUCUCUCCAAUCUCAUUUGCUGUCAUUUCGCCAAACAUUCUUUGCCAUCAUACUGACCUACUUGCCUGUGCCCUGAACAUGCCAGAGCUAUUUCAUUUCUCAAUACCUUGCUGUACACCUGGAAGCAUCUCUUUCAUGCAUACCUUUAUAGACUUCCAUCCACAGCCAAUUGAUUUUUCUUCUAAGAAGCCAUCCUUGACCCUUCCAUCCAUGCAUGCGUGCAUUCAACAUAUAUAUUCACCAAGUGCCACAGGUCUUAGUAUUCCAGGUGCUAGGAUAUUCUGGCAACCAGAGAAGAUACAAAUCUGCAUUUCCUCCAUGGUGCUUUUCUGAAUCCCUAGGAAUACAUCCAUUUCAUUCCUUAUCACAUCAUUUUGUAAUAGUUUGUCUACAUCUCUCUCCUGCACUAUAAUCUGAGAUCCUUCAGGGCUCCUAGACAGAUCUCUUGAACAGUAUUAUCUCCACUUCUCCAGACACGUAGCAGGGAUCUUAACAUAUAUAUUUAUUAUUUAUUAGUAUAUGGGGAGUUCCUGUUGUGGCACAGCAGAAACGAAUCCGCCUAGGACCCAUGAGGUUGCAGGUUCAAUCCCUGGCCUCGCUCAGUUGGUUAAGGAUCUGGUAUUGCCAGGAUCUGUGGUAUAGGUCUCAGAUUCAAUCCCUGGCCUCACUCAGUUGGUUAAGGAUCUGGCAUUGCCGUGAUCUGUGGUAUAGGUCUGAGACGUGGCUCGGAUCUGGUGUUGCUGUGGCUGUGGUGUAGGCCAGCAGCUACAGCUCUGACUGGACCCCUAGCCUGGGAACCUCCAUAUGCUGUGGGUCUGGCCCU
rnacentral:lncRNA from 1 species